UCCAGAGGUCCCAAGCGUUACUGAGAAUCACUGGGUUUAAAGGGUGCGUAGGUGGUCCGUUAAGUCAGUUGUGAAAUCCCCGGGCUCAACCCGGGAACUGCUUCUGAUACUGGCGGACUUGAGGCCGGUAGGGGUCACUGGAACUGACGGUGGAGCGGUGAAAUGCGUAGAUAUCGUCAGGAACGCCGGUGGUGAAGACGGGUGACUUGGCCGGUUCUGACACUGAGGCACGAAAGCGUGGGGAGCGAACGGG
rnacentral:rRNA from 1 species